rnacentral:rRNA from 1 species
UAGGGAAUAUUGCACAAUGGGCGCAAGCCUGAUGCAGCAACGCCGCGUGCGCGAUGAAGGCCUUCGGGUCGUAAAGCGCUUUUCUGGAGGAUGAGGAAGGACAGUACUCCAGGAAUAAGUCUCGGCUAACUACGUGCCAGCAGCCGCGGUAAAAACGUAGGAGACAAGCGUUAUCCGAAUUUACUGGGCGUAAAGCGCGUGCAGGUGGUUCGGUAAGUGGAAUGUGAAAUCUUCUGGCUCAACUGGGAGAGGCCGUUCCAAACUACCGGACUAGAGGGCGGUAGAGGGAGGUGGAAUUCCCGGUGUAGUGGUGAAAUGCGUAGAUAUCGGGAGGAACACCUGUGGCGAAAGCGGCCUCCUGGGCCGUACCUGACGCUCAGACGCGAAAGCUAGGGGAGUGAACGGGAUUAGAAACCCCGGUAAUCCUAGCUGUAAACGAUGUGGACUGGGUGUCGGCGGGGUAAAAGCCGGUCGGUGCCGAAGCCAACGCGAUAAGUCCACCG